CUUCACAGACAGUGAAAUUGACCAAUGAAGGCACAGAUGUAGGCGGGGCUGGGGAGAUAUUACAGACGGAAGGCCCUGCAGAAAUGAAGCCUGAUAAGGAUCUACUGGCUGUAACUGUACCUCAGGAACUCUGAACUUUGGCUGCACAUUUCAUCCCACUCCCACAGGGAGAGGAGAAAGAAGAGAGAUUGUCGUAGUUACUUCACUAUGGUACCCAAGUGAGGGUGAAGAGUAGAAUGUAAAAGGCUGCGUCCACAGAAGCAGCAGACUUGCCCCUAAGGAAUCAAUGGCAGAGGGUUGCUUUCAGCCAGCCGGUUCCACGGAUCGAUACACUGUAGGAAACAGGACCCAAUGGAUCAGAAACAAUAAACUUACAUUUUCAUUCA